GAUCAGAGCCAGAAAGGAAGGAAGAGAGAGGGGGAGAGAGAGAAAGAGAAAGAAAGAAGGAAAGAAGGAAAGGGAGAGAGAUCCGUCCAAACCAUCGACAUUUUGGAGAAACCCCAAGUUCUGGUUGUUUUCUGGCUUGAUGGUAGUUGAAAGAAGUGUUAAGGAUGUUGAGAUGAAGCCGCUGUCAAAAUUUGGUGACCAUCGGAGGAGUUGGCCGACGAGUGAACAGUGCCGCGAGUGAAUAGUCGGGUGACGUAUCGAAUUAUUAUUUGGUGAAGGAACUCGUACGCGUGAACGACUAAAUAGUACUUUUGCAGGCGAAUUAGUUGAGGUCGGGCGUACACGAAAUUGAGGCAUAGUCAGCAGCAUGGCUUCCGCAUCUGCCUUUGAAUUAGGUUUUCCUCAUAUACCUUUCUGUUUGAAUUGCUCUGAUUACCUAUGGGAUUUAUGUUAUUCAAGUUGAGAUAUGUGUUUUGUGAAUUGGAGAUUGAUGUUGAUUUGGGGAGCAGGGUGGCUCCAGGAGCAUAAGGAUGAUUCGAUUGAGAAGUGUAAAUGUUCCCUACAGGUUUGGGUUGCCCA